rnacentral:rRNA from 1 species
CUGAAUCAGUGUGUGUGUUAGUGGAAGCGUCUGGAAAGGCGUGCGAUACAGGGUGACAGCCCCGUACACAAAAAUGCACAUAUUGUGAGCUCGAUGAGUAGGGCGGGACACGUGGUAUCCUGUCUGAAUAUGGGGGGACCAUCCUCCAAGGCUAAAUACUCCUGACUGACCGAUAGUGAACCAGUACCGUGAGGGAAAGGCGAAAAGAACCCCGGCGAGGGGAGUGAAAAAGAACCUGAAACCGUGUACGUACAAGCAGUGGGAGCACGCUUAGGCGUGUGACUGCGUACCUUUUGUAUAAUGGGUCAGCGACUUAUAUUCUGUAGCAAGGUUAACCGAAUAGGGGAGCCGAAGGGAAACCGAGUCUUAACUGGGCGUUAAGUUGCAGGGUAUAGACCCGAAACCCGGUGAUCUAGCCAUGGGCAGGUUGAAGGUUGGGUAACACUAACUGGAGGACCGAACCGACUAAUGUUGAAAAAUUAGCGGAUGACUUGUGGCUGGGGGUGAAAGGCCAAUCAAACCGGGAGAUAGCUGGUUCUCCCCGAAAGCUAUUUAGGUAGCGCCUCGUGAAUUCAUCUCCGGGGGUAGAGCACUGUUUCGGCAAGGGGGUCAUCCCGACUUACCAACCCGAUGCAAACUGCGAAUACCGGAGAAUGUUAUCACGGGAGACACACGGCGGGUGCUAACGUCCGUCGUGAAGAGGGAAACAACCCAGACCGCCAGCUAAGGUCCCAAAGUCAUGGUUAAGUGGGAAACGAUGUGGGAAGGCCCAGACAGCCAGGAUGUUGGCUUAGAAGCAGCCAUCAUUUAAAGAAAGCGUAAUAGCUCACUGGUCGAGUCGGCCUGCGCGGAAGAUGUAACGGGGCUAAACCAUGCACCGAAGCUGCGGCAGCGACGCUUAUGCGUUGUUGGGUAGGGGAGCGUUCUGUAAGCCUGUGAAGGUGUGCUGUGAGGCAUGCUGGAGGUAUCAGAAGUGCGAAUGCUGACAUAAGUAACGAUAAAGCGGGUGAAAAGCCCGCUCGCCGGAAGACCAAGGGUUCCUGUCCAACGUUAAUCGGGGCAGGGUGAGUCGACCCCUAAGGCGAGGCCGAAAGGCGUAGUCGAUGGGAAACAGGUUAAUAUUCCUGUACUUGGUGUUACUGCGAAGGGGGGACGGAGAAGGCUAUGUUGGCCGGGCGACGGUUGUCCCGGUUUAAGCGUGUAGGCUGGUUUUCCAGGCAAAUCCGGAAAAUCAAGGCUGAGGCGUGAUGACGAGGCACUACGGUGCUGAAGCAACAAAUGCCCUGCUUCCAGGAAAAGCCUCUAAGCAUCAGGUAACAUCAAAUCGUACCCCAAACCGACACAGGUGGUCAGGUAGAGAAUACCAAGGCGCUUGAGAGAACUCGGGUGAAGGAACUAGGCAAAAUGGUGCCGUAACUUCGGGAGAAGGCACGCUGAUAUGUAGGUGAAGUCCCUUGCGGAUGGAGCUGAAAUCAGUCGAAGAUACCAGCUGGCUGCAACUGUUUAUUAAAAACACAGCACUGUGCAAACACGAAAGUGGACGUAUACGGUGUGACGCCUGCCCGGUGCCGGAAGGUUAAUUGAUGGGGUCAGCGCAAGCGAAGCUCUUGAUCGAAGCCCCGGUAAACGGCGGCCGUAACUAUAACGGUCCUAAGGUAGCGAAAUUCCUUGUCGGGUAAGUUCCGACCUGCACGAAUGGCGUAAUGAUGGCCAGGCUGUCUCCACCCGAGACUCAGUGAAAUUGAACUCGCUGUGAAGAUGCAGUGUACCCGCGGCAAGACGGAAAGACCCCGUGAACCUUUACUAUAGCUUGACACUGAACAUUGAGCCUUGAUGUGUAGGAUAGGUGGGAGGCUUUGAAGUGUGGACGCCAGUCUGCAUGGAGCCGACCUUGAAAUACCACCCUUUAAUGUUUGAUGUUCUAACGUGGACCCGUGAUCCGGGUUGCGGACAGUGUCUGGUGGGUAGUUUGACUGGGGCGGUCUCCUCCUAAAGAGUAACGGAGGAGCACGAAGGUUGGCUAAUCCUGGUCGGACAUCAGGAGGUUAGUGCAAUGGCAUAAGCCAGCUUGACUGCGAGCGUGACGGCGCGAGCAGGUGCGAAAGCAGGUCAUAGUGAUCCGGUGGUUCUGAAUGGAAGGGCCAUCGCUCAACGGAUAAAAGGUACUCCGGGGAUAACAGGCUGAUACCGCCCAAGAGUUCAUAUCGACGGCGGUGUUUGGCACCUCGAUGUCGGCUCAUCACAUCCUGGGGCUGAAGUAGGUCCCAAGGGUAUGGCUGUUCGCCAUUUAAAGUGGUACGCGAGCUGGGUUUAGAACGUCGUGAGACAGUUCGGUCCCUAUCUGCCGUGGGCGCUGGAGAACUGAGGGGGGCUGCUCCUAGUACGAGAGGACCGGAGUGGACGCAUCACUGGUGUUCGGGUUGUCAUGCCAAUGGCACUGCCCGGUAGCUAAAUGCGGAAGAGAUAAGUGCUGAAAGCAUCUAAGCACGAAACUUGCCCCGAGAUGAGUUCUCCCUGACUCCUUGAGAGUCCUGAAGGAACGUUGAAGACGACGACGUUGAUAGGCCGGGUGUGUAAGCGCAGCGAUGCGUUGAGCUAACCGGUACUAAUGAACCGUGAGGCUUAACCUUACAACGCCGAAGCUGUU